rnacentral:rRNA from 1 species
AUUGAACGUUGGCGGCAGGCCUAACACAUGCAAGUCGAACGGUAGCACAGAGAGCUUGCUCUCGGGUGACGAGUGGCGGACGGGUGAGUAAUGUCUGGGAAACUGCCCGAUGGAGGGGGAUAACUACUGGAAACGGUAGCUAAUACCGCAUAACGUCGCAAGACCAAAGUGGGGGACCUUCGGGCCUCACACCAUCGGAUGUGCCCAGAUGGGAUUAGCUAGUAGGUGGGGUAAUGGCUCACCUAGGCGACGAUCCCUAGCUGGUCUGAGAGGAUGACCAGCCACACUGGAACUGAGACACGGUCCAGACUCCUACGGGAGGGAGCAGUGGGGAAUAUUGCACACUGGGCGCAAGCCUGAUGCAGCCAUGCCGCGUGUAUGAAGAAGGCCUUCGGGUUGUAAAGUACUUUCAGCGGGGAGGAAGGCGGUGAAGUUAAUAGCUUCACCGAUUGACGUUACCCGCAGAAGAAGCACCGGCUAACUCCGUGCCGGCCGCCGCCGUAA